UUUAUCUGUUAAAUCUGGUUAAAAGUUCAAAAAUUAUUAGGAGGUGUGGAAGAGAGUGAGCAUUUGUCAUAGAAAAGAAGACAAAACAACUUUUGAAUGUAGUAGUGGACACAAAAUCUGGAGGACAAUUCUCUAGUGCCAAUUAGAGAAGUUCAGAGUAUACUCAUGUCUUACUUCCUGUGCUCUGUGUUGGAGGAAGCUGAGAGGAAGUGAGAAAACACAGCUCUCCCGCUUCAAAAUUAAAGCAGACCAGAUACUACACAUUUUAGGAAUUGUGUUUGGAAACAAAAUGAGGACUUGGAAGUAAAACAUUCUUUUUAAGAAGCAUGGAUCAGCAUUUCCCAAACCUUUACAUUUCCUGCAAAUACCAGUGGACCAAACUGCCAGCAAAUACCUAUGUAACCUCAAAGUCUUGCACCAAGUGCUCUUGUCAACACCCCUGCCACUGCAGAGAUGAAGUCCAGAGUCCAUUUAUUGCAAAAAUCUAUAACUGACUCCAACA